AUCGACGGCGGUGUUUGGCACCUCGAUGUCGGCUCAUCACAUCCUGGGGCUGAAGUAGGUCCCAAGGGUAUGGCUGUUCGCCAUUUAAAGUGGUACGCGAGCUGGGUUUAGAACGUCGUGAGACAGUUCGGUCCCUAUCUGCCGUGGGCGCUGGAGAAUUGAGGGGGGCUGCUCCUAGUACGAGAGGACCGGAGUGGACGCAUCACUGGUGUUCGGGUUGUCAUGCCAAUGGCACUGCCCGGUAGCUAAAUGCGGAAGAGAUAAGUGCUGAAAGCAUCUAAGCACGAAACUUGCCCCGAGAUGAGUUCUCCCUGAGACUUUAAGUCUCCUGAAGGAACGUUGAAGACGACGACGUUGAUAGGCCGGGUGUGUAAGCGCAGCGAUGCGUUGAGCUAACCGGUACUAAUGAACCGUGAGGCUUAACCUUACAACGCCGAAG
rnacentral:rRNA from 1 species